rnacentral:rRNA from 1 species
CAGCAGCCGCGGUAAUACGAAGGGGGCUAGCGUUGUUCGGAUUUACUGGGCGUAAAGGGCGCGUAGGCGGGCGAUUAAGUCAGGGGUGAAAUCCCAAGGCUCAACCUUGGAACUGCCUUUGAUACUGAUUGUCUUGAGUUCGAGAGAGGUAAGUGGAACUGCGAGUGUAGAGGUGAAAUUCGUAGAUAUUCGCAAGAACACCAGUGGCGAAGGCGGCUUACUGGCUCGAUACUGACGCUGAGGCGCGAAAGCGUGGGGAGCAAACAAGAUUAGAUACCCCAGUAGUCCCUGUCUCUUAUAC